AUGGCGAACUCCAAGGGCGCCAUGAGUGGUGGAGGCAGAGGCGUCCUCCUCCUCUGUAUGAGUUGCUGCUACUCGAUGCAGCAAUGGGGACGAACAUCUAGAGGAACUUGGCGCGGUGGGCGAACUGGGCUUGAGGAGGUCGAAUCAGGCCGGAUCCGGUUGCGACGUGGUGGAGCAGCAGCGAGGCCAAGCGAAGAAUGGCGUCGGGCGGCAAACGCCAAGGGCGGCGGCACGAACUGGUCGACUCAGCGCAUGGGGUCUUGUUCAAGGCGUCUUGCGGGAGCUCCUGGUGAAGAAAAGAGAAAGGGCGAUGAGAGAAUGAAAAGAACGGGGGAACACUGGGAAGGAGAAGAAGAAGGUGCGGCGGUGCUCAUCUUGAAUGGAGCUCAUCGACGGUGA
rnacentral:rRNA from 1 species